UGGGCACCAAGGGCCAAGUGCCUCAGGCCCGUGGUUAGCUUUUGAUUCCCUGUGUAUGGGGUCAGGCUGGCGUGGGGCUCGUGUUCUCCCUUCCGCUCGUCUCCCCACCUCCACCCUGCUCCCGACAACGUCAUUGCCAGUUUGCCCCGAGCAGCGGCUGCCAGAGGACAGUCUUGGGCAAGACAUUCAAUCAAGAGUCAGCUUGAGGACAGUCAGUGCUUCAGGUGUUUUUGAGGCCCUCGUGGGUACAGGAUACUCGGCUAGGCUGAGCCAGGAACCUGCCGGAACAGGGCCUGAGGUCAGGGCCUCCGGCAAGUCACAGGGCAGUUCCAGGGGCUGCAGGGGCCACGACUGACCUUCCUCAGCCUCCAAGGGAACCUGAAACUUUGAGGCGACUGCACCCAGCAGGGCAGGCGCCAAACCCUCUGUCAGUCGGCUGGGCUCCACUGACAAGGUCACCCAGGGAUGCCACCCGCCAGUCCCGGGAGGAACGUCAGGGGAGCUUCGUUGGUUCUGCUGGUCAGAGCAACGCUUUCCGGACAGAAGUGAAAUCUCAGAACAUCCGAGCUGGAGGGGCCCUCAGAGGCCACCAGCUAUCAUCUCUUCAUUUUACAGCGGCCACCAGCUAUCAUCUCUUCAUUUUACAGCGGAGGAGAGACAAAGCAAGGCUGCAAAGAGAUGAAAGGUCUUGCCCAGAGUCACAUAACGGUCAGUGGAAGAGCCAGACUUGAACCUGCGGCCUGUGCUGCAGGGGAUGGAGGGCUGGUGAGGAGCAUGGAUGGUGAGGUGCACACACCUGGGUUCCAGUCUCAGCUCUGCCAUUUCCUGGUGAUGUGACCUGGGACAAGCAUCUCAAGCUCACCAAGCCUCAGUUUUUGCAUCUGUGAAGUGGGCAUAAUUUUCUUAGGGCUAUUGUGAUGUUUUGAUGACGUUGUACAAAUAAAAAACGUUUAGCACAGUGUUUGACACAAGGUACCCCAGAUGUUGGCUGUUAUUAUUAUAAAUUCCAGUAAGGCCUUACAUGAAUGGGCCUCUGUCGGGGAGGGGAACCACAGUGACCACAUUUUCCAACUCUGAGUUCAGCUUCUUGCCCUGAAAUGGUUAUAUGGAGACAGCAGCCCAGAAUAUUUGAAUUUGAGCCUGUCCCCCAAUGCAGGACACGUGGGUACCACUGGGGCAUGUGUGAAGUGCUGGGGAGCGUAAGAAGGGCGAGGUUAAUCAGCUUGCCAUGGGGUGAGCUUCAAGGCAUCCAAGCUGAACCCUUAAGGACACAUAGGAGUCCUGGGCAGAAAAGAGAAUGGAGGGAACAGCAAGGUGAAGAGCAUCCAUAGAAGUCCAGAGAGUGUGGAGAGCAUGGAGUUCCCAGAAACCUUCAGAGUGGCUGGAGUGGCUUGGGUGGGGGGACAGUGGAGACAGGACCCCUCAUCUCUCCCCCCACUUUGAGAGGUGCUGCAUUUUGACUCUGAAGCUAAGACCACAGUUCCAGGCAAGGGCCACCCUUCAGAGCUAACAUAAUUUUUCUGC